GAUGAACGCUGGCGGCGUGCCUAAUACAUGCAAGUCGAGCGAACAGACGAGGAGCUUGCUCCUCUGACGUUAGCGGCGGACGGGUGAGUAACACGUGGAUAACCUACCUAUAAGACUGGGAUAACUUCGGGAAACCGGAGCUAAUACCGGAUAAUAUAUUGAACCGCAUGGUUCAAUAGUGAAAGACGGUUUUGCUGUCACUUAUAGAUGGAUCCGCGCCGCAUUAGCUAGUUGGUAAGGUAACGGCUUACCAAGGCAACGAUGCGUAGCCGACCUGAGAGGGGGAUCGGCCACCAGGGAACUGAGACACGGCCCAAACCCCUACGGGAGGCAGGAGGAGGGAAUUUUCCGAAAGGGGGGAAAGCCUGACGGAGCAACGCCGGGGGGGGGAAGAAGGGUUGCGGAUGGUAAAACUCUGUUAUUAGGGAAAAAAAAAUGUGUAAGUAAAUAUGCACGUCUUGACGGUAACUAAACAGAAAGCCACGGAUAAAUACGU
rnacentral:rRNA from 1 species